rnacentral:rRNA from 1 species
GAUGAACGCUGGCGGCGUGCCUAAUACAUGCAAGUCGAGCGAACAGACGAGGAGCUUGCUCCUCUGACGUUAGCGGCGGACGGGUGAGUAACACGUGUAUACCCUCCCUAUCAGACUGGGAUCACUUCGGGAAACCGGCGCUAAUACCGGAUAAUAUAUUGAACCGCGUGGUUCAAUAGUGAAAGACGGUUUUGCUGUCACUUAUAGAUGGAUCCGCGCCGCAUUAGCUAGUUGGUAAGGUAACGGCUUACCAAGGCGACGAUGCGUGGCCGACCUGAGAGGGGGAUCGGCCACACUGGAGCGGAGACACGGUCCAGACGCCUACGGGAGGCAGCAGUAGGGAAUCUUCGGCAAUGGGCGAAAGCCUGACGGAGUAACGCCGCGUGAGUGAUGAAGGUCUUCGGAUCGUAAAACUCUGUUAUUAGGGAAGAACAAAUGUGGAAGGAACUAUGCACGGCGUGACGGUACCUAAUCAGAAAGCCACGGCUAACUACGUG